rnacentral:lncRNA from 1 species
AACUGCAACUCUAGUAAUUUGGAAUAAGACUUCAUAGUUUAACACGCAAGGGCAUAAUUCAUAUCCGUGACUGAUCAAAUAAUCACUUAGACGGGUAUACCAUAUAUGUCGGAUUGUAAGUAAAUGCCUCAAACAAGUUAAGAGGGUGUUCCGUGGUUUUGGAACUAUUUGAAGCAGUCCAUGUAAUUCUUCGGGAACUUACAUGUAAAUCUCCGUAUCUAUAUCCCCAUGGAGAAAACACUAACCACAUUUCAUAAUACUGCUAUCAAUCACAUGACAUUUUGAAAGAAACCUUGCACCGUAGGGCGUGCAUCAUAUCGCACUAUUUCAUUCAUCUCAUAACGCUUCAUUUCCCAUUACACAUUAAGGUUACCUUGGGCAGUGUAGGAACGAUAGGUCUAAAACACACUUUGGUAAGGAAUUUAACCUGGAUUGCAAUUUAAGUUGUCUAAUCAAUUCUACGUUGUCACUUAAUCAACGGAACACGGUUCAAUAUCGUCGCUUUUCAUUUAUGUCUAUAGCUACCAUAUAAGUGAAAAUAUCAUCGAUGGUAAUCUCAUUUCAAUUCCAUUUAGCUCAUCCAAACUAGUAUACUGGACCAAGAACUUUAAGUUUUGGGAGAAAUCCAGAUUAAUCUUGAGAUGGAAAUGAUUUGAGACAGCGAUCGAGUUUAGAUUCAUUGUUGUGUCGUAUCUUCCUAUUCUAAGGAAGUGAAUCUUACGAACCGAAUGAUCUGUCGUGUUCCAGGCCAAGACAGAUUGAUUGGCUA